AGGGUGUAAACGCUGCGGACUUGGUGUUGGAAGCCCUUUGGGGGCAUUCAGUGCCGGAGAGAAGUUGUUAAGUCUGCUACUUGGGAGUACGUCCGCAAGGAUGAAACUUAAAGGAAUUGGCGGGGGAGCACCGCAACGGGAGGAGCGUGCGGUUUAAUUGGAUUCAACACCGUAAACUCACCAGGGAAGACUGUUACAUGAAGGCCGAGAUGAAGACUCUGCUAGAUUUUCAGAGAGGUGGUGCAUGGCGUCAGUGACU
rnacentral:rRNA from 1 species